GAUGAAGGGAGAGCUUGAGAUACAGAAGCUGAGAGAGUUCUUUGCGGAGCUGCUUUUCAGCAGAGACCUGCAGCAUCAGAAAGAGCCAGUGAGCUGGUGACCUGGGAAAAGAGAGUUGCAGGCAAAGGGAACGGCCAGUGCAGAGGCCGUGGGGUAAGAAUAACCUUGGUGUGCUCCAGGGACAGAAAGAAGACCAGGGCACCCAGUCCACUGAGUGGAAGGAAGAGAAAUAUGCCAAGGGUGGAAAGGUCCGCCGUGUAAGAAGUACCUUUCACCUUCCACCAUGAUUGUGAGGCCUCCCCAGCCACGUGGAAA
rnacentral:lncRNA from 1 species